rnacentral:rRNA from 1 species
AGAGUUUGAUCCUGGCUCAGGACGAACGCUGGCGGCGUGCUUAACACAUGCAAGUCGAGCGGAAAGGCCCUUCGGGGUACUCGAGCGGCGAACGGGUGAGUAACACGUGAGUAACCUGCCCCUAGCUCUGGGAUAGCUCCGGGAAACCGGGAUUAAUACCAGAUACGACCACUUUAGACAUCUGUCGUGGUGGAAAGGAUUCCGGCUAGGGAUGGGCUCGCGGCCUAUCAGCUUGUUGGUGGGGUAACGGCCUACCAAGGCGACGACGGGUAGCCGGCCUGAGAGGGCGACCGGCCACACUGGGACUGAGACACGGCCCAGACUCCUACGGGAGGCAGCAGUGGGGAAUAUUGCGCAAUGGGCGAAAGCCUGACGCAGCGACGCCGCGUGGGGGAUGAAGGCCUUCGGGUUGUAAACCCCU